CGGGUGAGUAACGCGUGGAUAACCUGCCUCACACAGGGGGAUAACAGUUAGAAAUGACUGCUAAUACCGCAUAAGCGCACAGUCUCGCAUGGGACAGUGUGAAAAACUGAGGUGGUGUGAGAUGGAUCCGCGUCUGAUUAGGCAGUUGGCGGGGUAACGGCCCACCAAACCGACGAUCAGUAGCCGGCCUGAGAGGGUGAACGGCCACAUUGGGACUGAGACACGGCCCAAACUCCUACGGAAGGCAGCAG
rnacentral:rRNA from 1 species